UCGAAUCACGUCGCUGUAGAUAUAAUAUACUUUUAAUAAAGUGUGUGAAUAUAUUAUAUUCUUCCACAUUGCAUACUUCUAAAGCAUUAAUUUGCUGCAGUUUAUUUUUAAAACAAUAUAUAGUUUUAAUUAAUAUAAUUUUCUAAUUAACAUUCUGUUUCGAAAUAUUCGCGAAUUUGCUGAGCGAGUGACAAGUUAUCGAUUCUCCGGUCAUCUGCUUAUAUCGAUUAAGCUGUUAUAAUUUGUUUGUUUUGAUACUUUGCCUUUCGUUACCUGUUCUUUAUUAUUGUUUCGUUCGUUGUCAUAUAUAUACAUAUAUUCGAUCGCCGACUUUCGUUCUCAAUUCAAUUUAAUAUUUUAAAAUAAAAUUGAAAUAUAAAAUAAAUUAUAGUUCCGGUAUUUAUCAUCGCAGUUGAAGUAAUCUUCAACCCACAAAAGUUUGAUAUCGAAUAUUUAAUUUUUGAAAGUUGCAAAUACUACAGUUAACAGAUAAUGUAUAUUAUAAUGGACACUUUUAAUUGU